AAAAAUUAAUAAGCGUUAGCAUAAAUUCUGGGAUAGUGUUAUUUAGAACUUACACAUAUUGUUAGGCACCAUCCGAAAAUCCAUAAUCAUAUUAGAAGUAAUCGGCAAUGUUCAUAACAUUACAGUAACACUUUAAGACCUACUAUUGACAUCACCAUGCUUGUUUCACACUAUAAAAGAAACAUUUAAAAACGUGAACACAUUGGGCAUCAUAGGUAAAAUUAAAUAAUGAUCAAAACCUACACUCUCACUGAGGCCAACGUACAAAAGAAACAUUCAACUCUCUUGCAAAAUUCUCUGAAAGAAACAUUGGGCAUCAUAGGUAUAAAUGAAACAUUCAACUCUCUUGCAAAAUUCUCUAAAUUCUCCAAGCACUUUUCCCUCAAAAUUCUAACUUUGGCAU
rnacentral:lncRNA from 1 species